AUUGAACGCUGGCGGCAUGCUUUACACAUGCAAGUCGAACGGCAGCACGGGGGCAACCCUGGUGGCGAGUGGCGAACGGGUGAGUAAUAUAUCGGAGCGUACCCGGAAAUGGGGGAUAACGUAGCGAAAGUUACGCUAAUACCGCAUAUGCCCUAAGGGGGAAAGCGGGGGAUUCGCAAGAACCCCGCGUUUUCGGAGCGGCCGAUAUCGGAUUAGCUAGUAGGUGAGGUAAAGGCUCACCUAGGCGACGAUCCGUAGCUGGUCUGAGAGGACGACCAGCCACACUGGAACUGAGACACGGUCCAGACUCCUACGGGAGGCAGCAGUGGGGAAUUUUGGACAAUGGGCGCAAGCCUGAUCCAGCCAUGCCGCGUGAGUGAAGAAGG
rnacentral:rRNA from 1 species